CCGUAACUAUAACGGUCCUAAGGUAGCGAAAUUCCUUGUCGGGUAAGUUCCGACCCGCACGAAAGGCGUAAUGAUUUGAGCACUGUCUCGACAAUGCAUCCGGUGAAAUUGAAGUACCAGUGAAGAUGCUGGUUACCUGCGCCAGGACGGAAAGACCCCAUGGAGCUUUACUCCAGCUUGAUACUGGGAUUCGAUACUGUAUGUACAGGAUAGGUGGGAGACGUUGAGCAUAGAACGCCAGUUUUAUGUGAGUCGCUGUUGGGAUACCACCCUUGCAGUAUUGGAUUUCUAACCUGCACCCAUGACCUGGGUGGGGGACAAUGUCUGGCGGGGAGUUUGACUGGGGCGGUCGCCUCCGAAAGGGUAUCGGAGGCGCUCAAAGGUUCCCUCAGAAUGGUUGGAAACCAUUCGAAGAGUGCAAAGGCAGAAGGGAGCUUGACUGCGACACCGACGGGUGGAGCAGGUACGAAAGUAGGACUUAGUGAUCCGGUGGUAUAAAGUGGGAUUGCCAUCGCUCAACGGAUAAAAGCUACCCUGGGGAUAACAGGCUUAUCACUCCCAAGAGUUCACAUCGACGGAGUGGUUUGGCACCUCGAUGUCGGCUCAUCGCAUCCUGGGGCUGUAGUAGGUCCCAAGGGUUGGGCUGUUCGCCCAUUAAAGCGGUACGCGAGCUGGGUUCAGAACGUCGUGAGACAGUUCGGUCCCUAUCCGGCGUGGGCGUAGGAUAUUUGAGAGGAGCUGUCCUUAGUACGAGAGGACCGGGAUGGACGGACCACUGGUGUAUCUGUUGGCUAUCAGAGCCAUGGCAGAGUAGCCAAGUCCGGCAGGGAUAAACGCUGAAGGCAUCUAAGCGUGAAGCCCCCCUCAAGAUGAGAUAUCCCAUAACGUCAAGUUAGUAAGACCCCUUGAAGACGACGAGGUAGAUAGGGCAGAGGUGGAAGUGUGGUAACACAUGGAGCUGACUGUUACUAAUCGGUCGAGGGCUUGACCAA
rnacentral:rRNA from 1 species